rnacentral:rRNA from 1 species
UACGGUAGGGGGCAAGCGUUGUCCGGAAUCAUUGGGCGUAAAGAGCGUGUAGGCGGCCAGAUAAGUCCGCUGUGAAAAUCCUCGAGGCUCAACUUCGAGCUGUCGGUGGAAACUGUCUGGCUAGAGUCCGGAAGAGGAGAAUGGAAUUCCUGGUGUAGCGGUGAAAUGCGCAGAUAUCAGGAAGAACACCCGUGGCGAAGGCGGUUCUCUGGGACGGUACUGACGCUGAGACGCGAAAGCGUGGGGAGCGAACAGG